GACGAACGCUGGCGGCGUGCCUAACACAUGCAAGUAGAACGCAGUUGCGAACGGGUGAGUAAAGCGUAGGUAACCGCCCCAUAGCGGGGGAUAACCAUCGGAAACGAUAGGUAAAACCGCAAACUGUGAGAUGGAUCUGAGUUGUAUUUGCUAGUUGGUGGGGUAAAGGCUCACCAAGGCGACGAUACAUAGCCGACCUGAGAGGGUGAUCGGCCACCCUGGGACUGAGACACGGCCCAGACUCCUACGGGAGGCAGCAGUAGGGAAUCUUCGGCAAUGGACGGAAGUCUGACCGAGCAACGCCGCGUGAGUGAAGAAGGUUUUCGGAUCGUAAAGCUCUGUUGUUAGGGAAGCGGUAUCUAACCAGGAAGCCACGGCUAACUACGUGCCAGCAGCCGCGGUAAUUC
rnacentral:rRNA from 1 species